GACGAACCGUGCGAACGUUGUUCGGAAUCACUGGGCUUAAAGGGCGCGUAGGCGGACGGUCAAGUCGGGGGUGAAAUCUUUCAGCUUAACUGGAAAAGUGCCUCCGAUACUGAUCGUCUCGAGGGAGGUAGGGGCAUGUGGAACUUCCGGUGGAGCGGUGAAAUGCGUAGAUAUCAUGAGGAAGACCAGUGGCGAAGGCGGGUCUCUGGACAGUUCCUGACACUGAGGCACGAAGGCCAGGGGAGCAAACGGG
rnacentral:rRNA from 1 species